rnacentral:rRNA from 1 species
AUUGAACGCUGGCGGCAUGCCUUACACAUGCAAGUCGAACGGCAGCACGGGAGCAAUCCUGGUGGCGAGUGGCGAACGGGUGAGUAAUAUAUCGGAACGUGCCCAGUAGUGGGGGAUAACUGCUCGAAAGAGCAGCUAAUACAGCAUACGACCUGAGGGGGAAAGGGGGGGAUCGCAAGACCUCUCGAUAUUGGAGCGGCCGAUAUCAGAGUAGCUAGUUGGUGGGGUAAAGGCCUACCAAGGCAACGAUCUGUAGUUGGUCUGAGAGGACGACCAGCCACACUGGGACUGAGACACGGCCCAGACUCCUACGGGGGGCAGCAGUGGGGAAUUUUGGACAAUGGGCGCAAGCCUGAUCCAGCAAUGCCGCGUGCAGGAAGAAGGCCUUCGGGUUGUAAACUGCUUUUGUCAGGGAAGAAAUCCUCUAGGUUAAUACCCUUGGGGGGAUGACGGUACCUGAAGAAUAAGCACCGGCUAACUACGUGCCAGCAGCCGCGGUAACAC